CCUAGUGUUCCUAGCAGAGUAGGAACCUGCUUUCCCCACAUUGCAGGUGCCUACUCUGCUAUAAUUUACCUGGCCAGGGAGGAGGGGACGGUGGAUGCAGCGAGGGAGCUCAGUGUUCCUGCUCCUCACUGCUUUCUGGCACGUGCCUUCUGUAGUGUUGCCAGGCGCUGGGAUAUGACGUCCAGAGAGAAGAUCCCCACUAGACCCCAGGAAUAAUUACAAUAAUGUGUGUGUGUGUGCGCGUCUGUCUGUGUUUCAGUGAGUGUGUGUCUGUCAGUGAGUAUAUCUGUGUGUCUGUCAGUGUGUAUGUCUGUGGGUCUGUAAGUCUGUCUGUCAGUGAGUGUGUCUGUAAGUGAGUGUGCGUGUGUGUCGGUCAGUGUUGCAAUGGCUGGACAGUGGAGGACCUGGAGGUGCACGGAGGCACGCAAUGCUACAUCACAUUCCAACGUGACGUCAACAUGCUCCACUUUCACAGGGUGUCAAGAAGUAGCGGGAGGAUCCGCUUUGGCACAGGGUGCGGACGGUGCCAUUUGGGAAUUACCAGAGGCCGGGCUCCGAAGUCGCAUACUGGCAGCAGCAAUGCGAGUGGAGCCUGCUUGUUGGCUAGUGGGGGGUGCUGGGAUUUAGUAGAGGGGGGGACUGGGAUUUAGUAUUGCUAGACUUUGAGUUUGACAUGCUUGGCUUAAAGCAACAGCUGAUUGCUUUAUGCCAACCAGCAUCACACCAGCCUGGCAGCAGUCAUUGCUUCCUCUACCUGAAUUUCAGAUAAAGCCAACUUUUGUGAUUGUGAACAGUUUAACCCCUACAGGUAAGGAAGUGCCAGGAACCUCCUGGCACCAUAACCACUUAAUUUCAAUGAAGUGGUUAUGGUG